rnacentral:rRNA from 1 species
UACGAAGGGAGCUAGCGUUGUUCGGAAUUACUGGGCGUAAAGCGCACGUAGGCGGAUUGCUAAGUCAGGGGUGAAAUCCCGGGGCUCAACCUCGGAGCUGCCUUUGAUACUGACAAUCUCGAGUCCGAUAGAGGUGGGUGGAAUUCCUAGUGUAGAGGUGAAAUUCGUAGAUAUUAGGAAGAACACCGGUGGCGAAGGCGGCCCACUGGAUCGGUACUGACGCUGAGGUGCGAAAGCGUGGGGAGCAAACAGG